UUGGUUCGGAAUUUAAGUUUGCGCUAAAUAAAAGCUAAAAUCCUUCUUGAUGUUGAGAUGGUACUCCAUCGCUGAACUGGAGAGGGCGAAAGCAAAGUCGUCCUCUUCCUUGGCCGUCCGCUAGCCACGUGGCGGCCCCUUUUACUCCGGCGGCGACGGCCUCCUUCGCCUCAAAGAGAACUCGGGCUCCGCCUCCCGAAGGCGCUUUCUCGUCGAGCCAGUGGAAGUUCCUCCACGCCUGCGUCCCACCGCUGCAGGAGAGGGCGUCGCGCUCCCGCGCCUGCUUGCGGCGCCAUUCCUCCACCGGCGGGCUAAGGGAGGAGCUCCCGGCCUCGUCGUCAUGGCGGCACUUGCAAGCGGGCGAGCCACCUCGGCCACCCCACCCGUGUCCAGCACCCGACAUCCUGGGACUUUUGUGCCUGUGCGCGCGGCAAAGUGCUGCCGGAGGGGAAUGGAUUUGUCGACGGAGAUUGCAAGUUUGCGGCGGAGAGGGAAAGAGGAUUUUGCCACCCUGAAACGCAGCCGCUCCAGUAUAUAAGCUUUACAAGCCGGGCCACUUCUACGGUAUCUGGCCAGGUGAUUUUUUUUUAUGAGGGAGUACAGGAUUUUCUAGCUCUAAGAAGCCACGACAGAUGUAUAAUUCAGCUUCCAGAUCUCAUGGAACCGUAUCAACUGAUGCACUCAUCACCAUAAUAACACAUCAUAGCAUCAAAAUCCAAAUACAGACCAGGUCCUAAAAUUACUUAUGGUAAAACAGGAUCAAGUAAUUCUUAUUUUGCUACUUCCAACAGGUUGAGUAAAGAAAAGGAGAUAAAACAAGAGCCAGACAAGUGAUAGAGUACUCCAACCGACUGUUAUUAC
rnacentral:lncRNA from 1 species